UGGGGAAUAUUGCACAAUGGGCGCAAGCCUGAUGCAGCCAUGCCGCGUGUGUGAAGAAGGCCUUCGGGUUGUAAAGCACUUUCAGCGAGGAGGAAGGUGGUGGACUUAAUACGUUCAUCAAUUGACGUUACUCGCAGAAGAAGCACCGGCUAACUCCGUGCCAGCAGCCGCGGUAAUACGGAGGGUGCAAGCGUUAAUCGGAAUUACUGGGCGUAAAGCGCACGCAGGCGGUUUGUUAAGUCAGAUGUGAAAUCCCCGGGCUCAACCUGGGAACUGCAUUUGAAACUGGCAAGCUAGAGUCUCGUAGAGGGGGGUAGAAUUCCAGGUGUAGCGGUGAAAUGCGUAGAGAUCUGGAGGAAUACCGGUGGCGAAGGCGGCCCCCUGGACGAAGACUGACGCUCAGGUGCGAAAGCGUGGGGCAGCAAACAGGAUUAGAUACCCUGGUAGUCCACGCUGUAAAACGAUGUCGAUUUGGAGGUUGUGCCCUUGAGGCGUGGCUUCCGGAGCUAACGCGUUAAAUCGACCGCCUGGGGAGUACGGCCGCAAGGUUAAAACUUAAAUGAAUUGACGGGUCUAGCUG
rnacentral:rRNA from 1 species